rnacentral:rRNA from 1 species
UACGAAGGGGGCUAGCGUUGUUCGGAUUUACUGGGCGUAAAGCGCACGUAGGCGGAUCGUUAAGUCGGGGGUGAAAUCCUGGAGCUCAACUCCAGAACUGCCUUUGAUACUGAGGAUCUUGAGUUCGGGAGAGGUGAGUGGAACUGCGAGUGUAGAGGUGAAAUUCGUAGAUAUUCGCAAGAACACCAGUGGCGAAGGCGGCUCACUGGCCCGAUACUGACGCUGAGGCACGAAAGCGUGGGG